rnacentral:rRNA from 1 species
UACGUAGGCAGCAAGCGUUGUUCGGAGUUACUGGGCGUAAAGGGUGUGUAGGCGGUCGUUCAAGUCGCGUGUGAAAGCCCCCGGCUCAACUGGGGAGGGUCACGCGAUACUGAUCGACUCGAAGGCAGGAGAGGGUAGUGGAAUUCCCGGUGUAGUGGUGAAAUGCGUAGAUAUCGGGAGGAACACCAGUGGCGAAGGCGACUACCUGGCCUGUUCUUGACGCUGAGGCGCGAAAGCUAGGGGAGCAAACGGG